rnacentral:lncRNA from 1 species
GCCGCGCCCCGGGAACGGGAACCAGCCGCCCGCAGGCCCCGCACACAGCCUCGCGGGGCCGCCCUCGGGGCCGCCGGAGCCUGCCACCGACGGGACGCGCAACUUCGACCCCAGGGACGCCUGGAUGCUCUUCAUCAGGCAGAGUGACAAAGGCGUCAACGGCAAGAGGGGAGGGAGAGGCAAGGCCAGGAAGCUGAAGCUUGGCCUGCCGGGGCCCCCAGGCCCCCCUGGGCCCCAGGGCCCCCCUGGCCCCAUCAUUCCCCGGGAGGUGCUGCUGAAGGAAUUCCAGCUGCUGCUGAAAGGUAGGGGGCGGGCGCACACACCACGGCAUGAGUGGGCCGGGGCGGUGUCCGGGAGGAGCCGGGGUGGCUAGAUAGUCCCACAGCCCGUGCAGGUGAGGCCAAAGGUCAGAGGCGGGGUGGGCAGGAGCGGCGCGAGGAGGAGGCUCUGCAGAGGAAGCUGGACUUGGCCACUCAGUGUUCAGUGGGUGCUCGGGGACCAGCACCCAUGCCCCUGGGACUCAGGUGGGCCCAGGCAAGGCCAGGACACCUGCACCCCACCCCCACCAAGUGAGGACCGUCAGGGAGGAUCAGAGGUCCUUCACCUUGCAAAGUGCUCCUCUGAUCACAAACCAUAUGGGGAUCUGAGGCUCACCCCAGGUGACACAAGUUCCCCUGUGUCCCUGCCUGUUCCCACAGCAGGUGUCAUCCGCUGGCCCAGAGCCCCAUAGGAGGCAGGAAGGGCAGCACAGGUGCAGCCCAGGCUGGGCAGCUGAGCUGCAGGCAGCAGAGGGACAGUGAGGGCUGUUGUGGCCCGGAGGUGGCCCUGCAGGCGGCCCGCUGCCAAGUGGUGGUCACUGUACUCACCAGGGCUCACUUCAUUAUGGGAAUUAGAGCCUUUUCCCUCUUCAGUUCAGCGCACCCUUCACUUAAACUUAUUCCAGCCCCCAGCUGCCCUGUGGGGCGGCCAGGGCUGCCGAUGGCGCUGCGGGGACAGUAGCCUGGCAGGAGCAGCGCCGGGGGGAAGCUGGGGAGGCCGGUGGGGUGAGGCGGCCCGGGCUCCGAGCUUCCCGGUGGUCAGAGCGCCAAGGGCAAGAGGAGCGGCUGCGGGCUCGGGACGCUGUUCCCACGGGCCCUGUGGCGCAGGAGCGUGUCCGUGGAUCCCCGGAUCCCUGGGGAGGGGGCUGCCAGCACUCGGCAGGGCGGGUU